AUGUUGGACAGGGCUUGGAGCAACCUGGGCUAGUGGAAGGUGUCCCUGCCCGUGGCAGGGGGUGGGACUGGAUGAGAUUUAAGGUUCCUCCCAACUCAAACCAUCCUGUGGUUGUCUAAUAACACUGAAGGUUUA